rnacentral:rRNA from 1 species
UACGUAGGGUGCGAGCGUUGUCCGGAAUUAUUGGGCGUAAAGAGCUCGUAGGCGGUGUGUCGCGUCGGCCGUGAAAACCUGCAGCUUAACUGUGGGCUUGCGGUCGAUACGGGCAUCACUGGAGUUCGGCAGGGGAGACUGGAAUUCCUGGUGUAGCGGUGAAAUGCGCAGAUAUCAGGGGAACACCGGUGGCGAAGGCGGGUCUCUGGGCCGAUACUGACGCUGAGGUGCGAAAGCGUGGGGAGCAAACCGG